ACUUGUGCAAGAGGCUUGGCUCAUAGACGGAUAACUGGCUUUGCAGUCACUGCAAGAGUACCAGCAACGAACUGGCAACACCUCUCUUUCUCACUUGUGCAAGAGGCUUGGCUCAUAGACGUUCUUCAGCGAGGACGGUAAUUAUGGCGAAAGGGAAGAAGAUGAAAAUAGGAAAACAGAAAGCAACUUGAAGAUGAAGAGGUUCCAGAGCAACCUGAAAGUGAAAAGGGUUUGAAGUGUAUUGAAGAAAGGGUUAAUGCCAUCGAAGCUAUACGGGAAAAUGUCGACAUUAGUCAGGCUCAAUCCGCAUCAAAGAUGAUCCGUAGGGGUAUGAGGAUGCAGGAAGCACUGCAGGUAGAAGACAACGCUGCUCUAAGAAUUCCAGACGUUGAUCGGGGUCCUUCAGACCCUAAAAACUCGCUAGUAGUUGUGCUGUCCAAGGAAAAUGACAUGUAUCGUUUAGGGUGCAAAGAAGGCACCUUAAAUUCUUGCUUUACUAGAGCUGAUUUAGAUAAAAUUGGUGAAAAACUACUUAAAGUGGCUAAUGUACCAGAUAUCCACGUUACUCUCAGAGCUGCGGUAACUCGAUCCACUGGUGGCCAAGGUUACCAGAAAUAUAACUGCAAAUUAGAUUGUAUUUCUCUAAGAUGUAGCUGUAGUAGAAAGAAAAUGAAGUGUAAAUC